rnacentral:rRNA from 1 species
ACAUACCUACGGGGCGCAGCAGUGGGGAAUAUUGCACAAUGGGGGAAACCCUGAUGCAGCAACGCCGCGUGAAGGAAGACGGUUUUCGGAUUGUAAACUUCUUUUCUUAGUGAAGAAGCAAGUGACGGUAGCUAAGGAAUAAGCAUCGGCUAACUACGUGCCAGCAGCCGCGGUAAUAUGUAGGAUGCGAGCGUUAUCUGGAAUUACUGGGUGUAAAGGGAGCGCAGGCGGGACUGCAAGUUGGAUGUGAAAUACCGCAGCUUAACUGCGGGGCUGCAUCCAAAACUGUAGUUCUU